rnacentral:rRNA from 1 species
AUGAUCAACCGGAGAUGUUGCUGGUCAAUUCAUAGCGACGACCUGAUGCUCUGCUGCACUGAUCCAACCGGAGAUGAUGCUGAUGAUCUGCUGCUCAACAAGGUGCUGCUGCUUCUCCCGGGGCGUGCUGAUGAUCUGCUGCUCAACGUGGUGAUGGAUCUGGUAGCGCUUGGGGCAGGUGAUGGAUGGGCGACGAGGAGGAGCCUGGCGGAGGGGUGGAGCAGGGGCGACAAGGAGGGGUGGAGCAGGGGCGACAAGCAGGGGCGGAGCCCAUUGGGCCGUCCCGUAUGCACAGGAAUACGGGUCCAAAUAUUUGCUAGUAGUACUUAUCAAUUACGAAGGCCCAGUGCAUCAGGUUGGCCCAAGAGCAGUGCAUCAGGGUCGGCCCUAUUCAGCCACUCCUCCGGCCUGCUGCGUUACCGUGUUGGGCCAGUGCGGAAAACGCGAGCAUACGCACCUCCCCCUCUCGUAGCCUAA